UGUUAAACUAGUAUUUUAAAGCGAAUUAAAAUACUAAAUCAAAGAUUAGAUGUAUAAAAAAAAAAGAGCUCAACGUAAAAGUGCUCACGUCACGAUUCACACUAAAUGCAACGCCAAAUUCACAUUCAACCACAUCGCAUAAACCUCCUCCCUCCGCCGCCGCACCUCAUUCGCGAUCUGCGGCGGCCGGCGGAGAUUAACCGUGCGAAAUCUCACAACAUCAGAUCCCGCUGCUCUGCGGCAUCAGAUCUCGAAAAAUCAGUGAAAACAUCAGCGAUUCGACUCAUACACAACGCGGUGGAAACAUUAUUGGAAAUGUGUAGCUGAAAUUGGGAAGAAUAAAAAAGCAGAAGAGAGUUAUAAAAAGGGAAAGGGGUAUUACUACCGGUGGCGGAUUAAGGGAGGCAAGAGGAGGCGGUCGCCCCCGUCGUGUAACUAUUUUUCCCUUAUCGAAACGUCAUGUCCGCUUCCUCCGUUUGCUUCUGGCGUCGGCUCGAACAACGAAAAAAAUAGUCAUGUUCAUACUAAAUCAAGCUUAUACUAUAUAUCCCGCUCCCUCCGUUUCUGGAUCCUGGAUUCGCCACUGAUUACUAUGAUUGUACAAUUCAAUAAUUUUAGGAUUGUAUAAUUCAAUAAUUUUUCUAUAAUCGAAUCGAUUUUUACUUGA